rnacentral:rRNA from 1 species
GCGUGUAGCAGUGAAAUGCGUAGAUAUCGUGAGGAAGACCAGUGGCGAAGGCGAAUGCCUGGGCAAUUCCUGACACUGAGGCACGAAAGCCAGGGGAGCAAACGGGAUUAGAUACCCCGGUAGUCCUGGCAGUAAACGGUGCACGUUUGGUGUGGGAGGAUUCGACCCCUUCCGUGCCGGAGCUAACGCGUUAAACGUGCCGCCUGGGGAGUACGGUCGCAAGAUUAAAACUCAAAGAAAUUGACGGGGACCCGCACAAGCGGUGGAGUAUGUGGCUUAAUUCGAUGCAACGCGAAGAACCUUACCUGGCCUUGACAUGCAUCUCUAAUCCGGUGAAAGCCGGUGAGUGUAGCAAUACACAAUUUGCACAGGUGCUGCAUGGCUGUCGUCAGCU